rnacentral:tRNA from 1 species
GGGGAUUUAGCUCAGCGGCAUAAGCACCUGCCUUGCAAACAGGUGAUGAUGAGUUCGAUCCCCA